UGUAGGUGUGAGAUAUUAAUGACAAGACCAUGAUAUUAUCCCAGGACAGAGGCCACUUAUGUGAAUAGAAAUGGGGGGAUGGGACUUGGGUCAGUGAGUGAGACCAGAAGUAAAACACUUGGGCCCCUCGUGGCAAAGAGAUAAAAGUAGAAAUGACCGAGGAUUCCAUUGUGUAACAACUAUAUACUAUUUCUAGCAUUCAUAUCAGGCCUCUGAACUGGGACCCCCUGUAUAGUCUGAACUACAACUCCCGGCAUCCUACUCCACUGCUGCUGGGAUACUGGGAGUUGUACUAGAGCUGAGGGAGCAGUGAGCAAUAACCUCAUUACUACAUAAAUACUGGCAAUAGUGAACUCUCCUCACACAAAGGAAUCACAAGUCUGUGUCAUUUCUCAACAUGGGACCCAAUCCUUUGUGACUUGCCUGGGGGAGGGGCCCUUGUGUCCCUGAGCUUGACAUCAGCUGUGUGACAGGAAAGAGAUGGAACUAACCAGCAUGCACUGCUCUCAUCCACUCUCAAUUCUACUCAGUAACAAGCAGAAAACAGUCAAACUCAUCAGACACAUCCCUUUAACUGACACUCAAAUCCCAUUUGUCUCUAAUCUGGUGCCCACGUGUGACUGACCCUGCACUGCCAGCUCUCCUGAUUAGCAUCUGCCCACCAGCAACAUGGCCGUGUCUGUGCAGUAGGGACAACUCUGACACACAAUCAUUUCAUUGGUCUCAAACCAAACAAGCUCAUUGGCUAAAGGGCGGAGCUGCCUUACCAGGGGGAGGAGUGAGAGGUAUUUGUGCUUCUUUCUGUACCCAGACCUGAUAGAGGGAAAGGCUGAACCUUCCUGUAACUACUUCCUGUUUCCUGUGUCCCUGGGCUGCUGGGAAAUAGAUUUUCCCUCCUCCUGCUGCUGCUGUAAUGUCUGUGAGAGAGAAGUUCUCUCCUCAGUAACAGUGAUUGUCAGACACUAGAGAGUUUGCUAAAUACACAGUUCAUAGGGCUUCUGAGGCACAAUCCUGUGGUGAUAUUUGUUUGUUUAAAUGCACUGAUAGAAUAGUUCUAUGAAACAACAGGGAGACAUUGUUUUGCUUUCCCACAUCCCCUCAUCCUAGUUAAUGGCUGCAGCCUCUCUUUAUGGCUUUGCUGCAAGUUUGGAUGAUCCCAUUCCCCAGGAGAGGCGUGUGUGGGGCCUGUCAGCAGAACAAGGGACAGACGUUAUAGAGGGCCUCUCCUAUUCAUAUUCCUGAUAAAUCUGCAGCGGGUUCCUGUACACGGCAUUUCAGAUGGAAUGAAAUAAAGGGAGGCUGUUGGCUCACUGUGGCUGCUCAUGUGCCAGGGAUAUAGUGAGACUGUAACUCUCUAUUGCUGAAUACAGAGGUGCAAGGAAUUCCUUGUUAAAGGGCUUUCCUGGAUCCACAACCAGAAAUUACAGGGAAUGGAAGAACUGAACACUGAAAGUUUAGCAGUACCAGUUAGUGAUGGGGAUGAUCUAUAUUCCCAUUCAGCUGUACAGAAUAUGGAAAAACUUAUAAUAAAAGCAGUGGCCUCUCUAACCAUAAGAAACACCACACGGGAGAAAUCCUAUUUAUGUACAGACUGUGGGAAGUUGUUUUAUGUAAAGAGACACAUUCAAAGUCACCAGAAAAUUCACCUGCUCAGAAUGUGGAAACAAUUGUCUUUAAUGUUUGAACUUGGAAAGAACACAGGAGAGAAACCAUCUACAUGUACAGACUGUGGGAAAUCAUUCACUCAAAAGCCCACCUUCAUAGUCACCAGAAAUGUCAUGCUGGGGAGAAACCAUUCACCUGUUUAGAAUGUGGGUUUUUGCUGGAUGACGCCGCUCUGUGGAGUUGGAUUUAAAUCAAUCACAUAUUGAUAGCGCUCAGAAGGAAAAAGGAGCAAAAGUUUUUUGGAAGCCUUGAUAAAGUGAUCACACUGAUUAGACCUUCUAAAAGGAAAGAAUACGCACGAGAGGGAGAAAUUGAGGGUAUUUUUGCUUAAAAGGGUGGUUCACCUUUAAGCUAACUUUCAAUAUGGUAUAGAAUCGCCAAUUCAA